UCUUAGAUGACUGAGGUAAAAGUGUUAGAUUUUUAAUCUAAAAACGGCAAUUGUGUGCCUCUAAGAAC
rnacentral:tRNA from 1 species